UGUCAGGUCUCCCAUGGCAGGGAAGAUUGGAGGUUUCCAACUCCUGGAAAAGGCUGUGCCUCCAUCCAGAGGCCUGCAAGGAGUGUGAGAGCCCAUGGCAGGUGGGGACAGAAAGCUGUGCCCGGGGAGGCAUCCCAGACUCAUGGCAGCACCAGGAGGAGGCGCGGAGGCAUGGCAGAGGGAGAUCCCACUUCCACAGGGACAGAGGCCCGUGUCUCCUGCCUGGCCUGCUGAUGGGGCUUGGGCAGAUCCUGGGACUGCUGCUCUGCACAAGGCCAGAAGAUGUCCUGGUGCUUUUCUCCUGGAUCCUGACACUUUUGGGAAGGGGCUUUAGCUGUCUGCAUACUGUUGUCAGAAGGAGAUUUGGCUUUUACCACCACAGGCCCCACUUCAAGAACCGAGGAGGGCUUUGUGGGCCCCUGAGGGACACCUCAUAGCACCGACAAGCAGGAGAUGGAGUCAGGCUCCCCACUGCAGUGCACUGCAGGCUAGGAGGUCAAGAGGCAUCAGUGCUGAGCUCUCAUCAGCUGUCUCUUGAAGAGAAAUUAUUGCCAACUGAGCACUUUGGAAAACUUCUUCCUUUGUUUAUCAGCCCACAGAAGACUUUUGGACCCUAACUUUUGGCACAUCUCCUAAAGUGUCUCUAACACAGUAGCUUCCAUGUGUUCUGAAAAGGUAAAUUCUAUCCUUACAAGAAAGGAGCAUUAUUAUCACAGUCACAGAGUAUGCUGAGUUGGAAGGGACCCACAAAGACCAUCAAAGUCCUGGCCCUCUAUAGGACAAUGCCAAGAGUCACACUUGUCUCUGAAAGCAUUAGCAAGCACGUUUUGAACUCUGGUGCUGAGGGAGCCAGUUCCAGUGCCAACCAUCACACCUGUGUUAUCAUCAUCCCAAGAUCAGAGAGUGGCUGACCCAUCAAAAGUCUCACACAUGUCUGAUUAAGUAAUUUGAUGUUCCUCUGCCUGGGCAGUAUGGAGACUGACAGUGCCUGCUGUGUCCUGUGUGAACAGUUCUUAGGACCAGAUAUUCUGGGCUGUAGAAAUAAGAUCCAAGAACUUCAAAAACAUGCCUGUAAAACCU